rnacentral:rRNA from 1 species
UACGUAGGGACCAAGCGUUGUUCGGAUUUACUGGGCGUAAAGGGCGCGUAGGCGGCGUGGUAAGUCACUUGUGAAAUCUCCGAGCUUAACUCGGAACUGCCAAGUGAUACUGCUGUGCUAGAGUGCAGAAGGGGCAACCGGAAUUCUUGGUGUAGCGGUGAAAUGCGUAGAUAUCAAGAGGAACACCUGAGGUGAAGACGGGUUGCUGGGCUGACACUGACGCUGAGGCGCGAAAGCUAGGGUAGCAAACAGG